GAAGUGAUUUUUCAAUGCCAGAUCACGUUGCAACUCAGAAUCACUAGCCGAUUGAAGAGGUCUGUCGCUCUCUUAGAGGGAGGAAGACGCGCUCUCAAUCGAUAAGAAUUCGUUGCUGUCUACAGAGCCAUGAAAUUCGUGAAUUUUAAAUUUUUCCGCAAAUUAGUGAAGUUUUCAAUUUUACCCCUCACUCCCCUCCACUCGAAGCCCUCCCACAGUCACGGCUUGUUGACAUGUGAUUUGGCAGCAUUGGCGGCAUCAAGAAGCAAUCUCAUUGGCUAAUCAAAUUAAUUUCAAAAUGGCCGCUGGUGGUAAGUUCUUUGUGUGUGUUUAUUUUUAACUUCAGCCUUGUCGGCUUUUAUGUUUCCCUAAAACGUUCAUUAAUGUUCCUUUUAAAUUUUAAGUUUUCACAAGAUAUUGCUUGAAGUUCAUCGCGUAUUCAUCAUGCCGUGAUUCGGUCGCAGUUGUGAUAUUUCUCCUGCGAUACUUUGGUUCUGUUUGGCGGGGCGCCAUGAUGGUCUGAAGACGUCCUCCGAGUUUGUCCGGGCUUAUUUCGUGAAAAUACCGCUGGAUAAGCCCCGCAUUCAUGUCUCCAUUUAUCGGUAUGUGAGUAAAACGGACCGAAGAUGAAUAAUCAAGAGCAGCAUCAUCCUGCUCCAAUGAGCACUGCCUCUCAUUCGGAAAGAGGCGAUGUCAACAACCGAGAGGCACAUGCCUCUAAUGUUGUGUCGAACGUUGCUAAGUAUUGGGUCUUGACGAAUCUUUUCCCCAAUCCCAUGGCACAGAUCCCGAUGUCAGGAAACCUGGCCCCUCUAGCCCUUUCGAGCACAACCAUAACAGCAAGUGGAGACUCAGGGACCAGUGAUAGUCACACAACAACAACCCAGAGUAUGAAAGGCAUAAAAGUCUUAAGUAAAUCGGGUUCAAGUUCAUCUCAGCAGAUUGAAAAUUCAGUUCAUUGCCAGCCGACGGUCCAUGAAAUCCCACAAAUGGAUGGUGCCCACGAGCAUCAGCUUAUCAGCGGCCUUACUCCUCAACAGCAUCACCAAUUAGUGCAACAGGUAUAG
rnacentral:lncRNA from 1 species